rnacentral:rRNA from 1 species
UACGUAGGGGGCGAGCGUUGUCCGGAAUCAUUGGGCGUAAAGCGCAUGUAGGCGGCCGAGUAAGUCGGAUGUGAAAUCCCGAGGCUCAACUUCGGAACUGCAUCCGAUACUGCUCGGCUUGAGGAAGGUAGAGGAGAGUGGAAUUCCCGGUGUAGCGGUGGAAUGCGCAGAUAUCGGGAGGAACACCAGCGGCGAAGGCGGCUCUCUGGGCCUCUCCUGACGCUGAGAUG